rnacentral:rRNA from 1 species
CCUACGGGUGACAGCAGUGAGGAAUAUUGGUCAAUGGGCGGAAGCCUGAACCAGCCAAGUCGCGUGAGGGAUUAAGGCCCUGCGGGUCGUAAACCUCUUUUGCCGGGGAGCAGAGGUCCGGACGUGUCCGGGCCGGGGGAGUACCCGGAGAAAAAGCCUCGGCUAACUCCGUGCCAGCAGCCACGGUAAUACGGAGGAUGCGAGCGUUAGCCGGAUUUAUUGGGUUUAAAGGGUGCGUAGGCGGCCUUUUAAGUCAGCGGUGAAAGUCUGUGGCUCAACCAUAGAAUUGCCGUUGAAACUGGGGGGCUUGAGUAUGUUUGAGGCAGGCGGAAUGCGUGGUGUAGCGGUGAAAUGCUUAGAUAUCACGCAGAACCCCGAUUGCGAAGACAGCCUGCCAAGCCAUGACUGACGCUGAUGCACGAAAGCGUGGGGAUCAAACAGGAUUAGAUACCCCGGUAGUC